UACAGAGGUCCCGAGCGUUGUUCGGAUUCAUUGGGCGUAAAGGGUGCGUAGGCGGCGGGGUAAGUCUGAUGUGAAAUCCCGGGGCUCAACCCCGGAACUGCAUUGGAUACUGCCUUGCUAGAGUACUGGAGAGGAAACUGGAAUUUACGGUGUAGCAGUGAAAUGCGUAGAGAUCGUAAGGAAGGCCAGUGGCGAAGGCGAGUUUCUGGACAGUUACUGACGCUGAGGCACGAAGGCCAGGGGAGCAAACGGG
rnacentral:rRNA from 1 species